rnacentral:rRNA from 1 species
ACCUUUGACAUGUACGGAAUCCUUAGAGAUAGAGGAGUGCUCGAAAGAGAGCCGUAACACAGGUGCUGCAUGGCUGUCGUCAGCUCGUGUCGUGAGAUGUUGGGUUAAGUCCCGCAACGAGCGCAACCCUUGUCAUUAGUUGCUACAUUUGGUUGGGCACUCUAAUGAGACUGCCGGUGACAAGCCGGAGGAAGGUGGGGAUGACGUCAAGUCCUCAUGGCCCUUAUAGGUGGGGCUACACACGUCAUACAAUGGCUGGUACAAAGGGUUGCCAACCCGCGAGGGGGAGCUAAUCCCACAAAGCCAGUCGUAGUCCGGAUCGUAGUCUGCAACUCGACUACGUGAAGUCGGAAUCGCUAGUAAUCGUGGAUCAGAAUGUCACGGUGAAUACGUUCCCGGGUCUU